rnacentral:rRNA from 1 species
AUUGAACGCUGGCGGCAGGCCUAACACAUGCAAGUCGAGCGAGCGGCGGACGGGUGUGUAAUGUCUGGGAAACUGCCCCAUGUAGGGGGAUAACUACUGGAAACGGUAGCUAAUAUCGCAUACCAUCAGAUGUGCCCCGAUGGGAUUAGCUGGUAGGUGGGGUAACGGCUCACCUAGGCGACGAUCCCUAGCUGGUCUGAGAGGAUGACCAGCCACACUGGAACUGAGACACGGUCCAGACUCCUACGGGAGGCAGCAGUGGGGAAUAUUGCACAAUGGGCGCAAGCCUGAUACAGCCAUGCCGCGUGUAUGAAGAAGGCCUUCGGGUUGUAAAGCACUUUCAGCGGGGAGGCGUUACCCGCAGAAGAAGCACCGGCUAACUCCGUGCCAGCAGCCGCGGUAAUUC